GGUCACUUCGUUAGAUGUCGAGAUGUUUGCCUGAUCAUUUCAGAUGAAAAGUGUAAUCCAAUGUACAUAGAACAAAGAAGAUAUAGGGCAGGCUGUCAGUUUGGACUUAUUUUUACCUUCUUUAAAAACAAUUCUUAACACAUCAUCAAAAAAUAUUAGGCCGCACCAUUUAAUUUGUUGUUCUACGGAUUUUUCGCCUUAAAAAAUUGG
rnacentral:lncRNA from 1 species